rnacentral:rRNA from 1 species
CAGCCGCCGCGGGAAUACAGAGGGUGCGAGCGUUAAUCGGAUUUACUGGGCGUAAAGCGUGCGUAGGUGGUGGUUUAAGUCCGUUGUGAAAGCCCUGGGCUCAACCUGGGAAUUGCAGUGGAUACUGGGUCACUAGAGUGUGGUAGAGGAUAGUGGAAUUUCCGGUGUAGCAGUGAAAUGCGUAGAGAUCGGAAGGAACAUCUGUGGCGAAGGCGACUAUCUGGGCCAACACUGACACUGAGGCACGAAAGCGUGGGGAGCAAACAGGAUUAGAUACCCGUGUAGUCCCUGUCUCUUAUAC